UACAUGUGGGGCAAGCGUUGUUCGGAAUUACUAGGCAUAAAGGGUGCGUAGGUGGUUUGUUAAGUCACGGGUGAAAGUUUUCGGCCCAACCGGAAAAUUGCCUGUGAUACUGGCGAACUUGAGUGCGUGAGGGGUAACCGGAACGAGCAGUGUAGCGGUGAAAUGCGUAGAUAUUGCUCGGAAGGCCAGAGGCGAAGGCGGGUUACUGGUACGCAACUGACACUGAGGCACGAAAGCGUGGGGAGCAAACAGG
rnacentral:rRNA from 1 species